rfam:Bursaphelenchus xylophilus, Ka4C1 (inbred line), WGS project CADV01000000 data, contig: contig18875
CAAACGGCCCUCUUUAGGGCCACAUUUCUUUGAUCUUGAUGCUUUG